AAGUACAUUCUUACAACAUAGUGUUAAUGCAUGAGAUCCCAUUAGAACUCUGCAGUUAAGUGUGGUCGGGCUAGAGUAGUACUAGGAUGGGUGAUCGCCUGGGACAUCCUAGUAUUUUACAUG
rfam:Picea glauca, whole genome shotgun sequence.